GUGCAACAUGGCAUCUAGCUGCCUCCCUAGGCUCAGCUGCUCUCUGCUCUCUCUGACAGGCUUGGUCUCUGGCUUCAGCUGGGUCGCUUCAGAUUUUCAGCACAGGUGGUUGGAAAGAUAAAAAUCUGUAGUAAACAACUGAUCAGUCACCCAAGCCCCACAACAGGCACUGUUUUCUCAGCUUUUACAGUCUUGGGCUGUGUAGGGCAGUACUUCAUGGUAGCUCAUGUCGUGCCAACUAUGGUGGUGUCCCCUACCAGGUCAGCAGGCGGCUGGUCAGCAGACCCCAGGAUGCGUUGGAGGGCGUCAUCCUCAGUGUAAGUUGCUGUGGCAGCUGUGAUUUGGGAAGCCCUGUGGGCCCCGGGGAAGUUGAGCUGUUGUGUUUAUGUGACCCUUGUGCCUGUAGCUUUGGGACCCUGAAAUACAUGUUAUUGUCAACCAAACCUAUAUGCAGAUACCCCCGUGGGCCAGUCUGGUAUUCUACACUGGUAGGCUGCAGUAGAAUGCCUGUGGUCCUUCCAUGCCC
rnacentral:lncRNA from 1 species